GGCGGCGUGCUUAAACAUGCAAGUCGAACGAACCUUCGGGUUAGUGGCGGACGGGUGAGUAACGCGUGAGAAUCUGCCCUCAGGAGGGGGACAACAGCUGGAAACGGCUGCUAAUACCCCAUAUGCCGCGAGGUGAAAUGAAUUUCGCCUGAGGAUGAGCUCGCGUCUGAUUAGCUAGUUGGUGUAGGUAAUGGCUCACCAAGGCAUCGAUCAGUAGCUGGUCUGAGAGGAUGAUCAGCCACACUGGGACUGAGAUACGGCCCAGACUCCUACGGGAGGCAGCAGUGGGGAAUUUUCCGCAAUGGGCGAAAGCCUGACGGAGCAACGCCGCGUGAGGGAUGAAGGCCUCUGGGCUGUAAACCUCUUUUAUCAAGGAAGAAGAUCUGACGGUACUUGAUGAAUAAGUCACGGCUAAUUCCGUGCCAGCAGUCGCGGUAAUACGGGAGUGGCAAGCGUUAUCCGGAAUUAUUGGGCGUAAAGCGUCCGCAGGCGAGCCUUCAAGUCUGCUGUUAAAAAGUGGAGCUUAACUCCAUCAUGGCAGUGGAAACUGUUGGGCUUGAGUGUGG
rnacentral:rRNA from 1 species